GGAGGCGGAGGGGAAAGUUUGUUUAUUUUGUUUUUAGUUUCUGGGGUCCCCGUGUUUCUCGGAGGUGAAGCGGGAGGGAGUGACCCCCCCCCGAGCCCCUCAGUCCCUCUACUACGUCGCCUCCAUAGCCUGCAGAGAAGCGGGGACCGCGCGCAUCGCGGCGCAUCGCCUCACAGCGGAACGCCGCGCACUCGGAGCCGGCACGGCUCAGUGGGUUUUGGUUUUUGCACUGAAUGUAGUCUAGACUCAUCUUCACGGGCUUGUGUUGCCCCAGGAUACUGUCAAAGGCAGUAUUUGUGUGUUUCUGCAGAGUUUUGCACAGAGUCUGUUCCCAUGCAGACCAAUGAGGGAGAAGUAUCGGAAGAAAGCAGUUCCAAGGUGGAACAGGAGGAUUUUGUAAUGGAAGGGCAUGGCAAGACUCCACCUCCUGGUGAAGAAAGCAAACAAGAGAAGGAGCAAGAAAGGGAAGAACAGUUAAUGGAAGACAAGAAAAGGAAGAAAGAGGAUAAAAAGAAGAAAGAAGCCACUCAGAAGGUCACGGAACAAAAAACCAAAGUGCCCGAAGUGACGAAACCAAGUUUAAGCCAACCAACGGCCGCCAGCCCGAUUGGCAGCUCUCCAUCGCCACCGGUCAAUGGUGGCAACAAUGCCAAAAGGGUGGCAGUGCCGAACGGACAACCGCCAAGCGCCGCCCGCUACAUGCCUCGGGAGGUGCCGCCGCGAUUCCGUUGCCAGCAGGACCACAAAGUGUUACUAAAGCGUGGGCAGCCUCCUCCACCGUCCUGCAUGCUCCUCGGGGGCGGGGCGGGGCCUCCUCCCUCCACAGCGCCUGGAGCAAACCCCAACGCACAAGUGACAGGAGCGCUGCUGCAGAGUGAGGGUGGGACCGCACCAGAGUCAGCCCUUGGAGGUGCUGCUGCUUCACAUUAUGCAAAUCCCACUUGGGGCCCGGGAGCCUCCUCCAACAACGGCGCCUCCCCCAACCCUAUUCACAUCUGGGACAAGGUGAUUGUAGACGGGUCUGACAUGGAAGAGUGGCCUUGCAUUGCCAGCAAAGACACUGAGUCUUCUUCCGAAAACACCACCGAUAACAACAGUGCCUCGAACCCUGGCUCUGAGAAGAGCACUCUGCCAGGAAGCACCACUAGUAACAAAGGAAAAGGGAGCCAGUGCCAGUCUGCAAGUUCUGGGAACGAAUGUAAUCUUGGGGUCUGGAAAUCUGACCCUAAGGCUAAAUCUGUUCAAUCUUCCAACUCUACUACAGAAAGCAACAAUGGACUAGGAAAUUGGAGGAAUGUGAGCGGUCAGGAUAGAAUUGGACCUGGCUCUGGCUUCAGCAACUUUAACCCAAAUAGCAACCCAUCUGCCUGGCCAGCGCUGGUCCAAGAAGGAAAUUCUAGGAAAGGGGCAUUGGAAACGGAUACUAGUAAUUCCAGUGCACAGGUUAGCACAGUAGGUCAGGCAUCCAGGGAACAGCAGUCAAAGAUGGAAAAUGCGGGUGUUAAUUUUGUUGUCUCUGGCAGAGAACAGGCUCAAAUUCAUAACACUGAUGGACCAAAAAAUGGAAACACUAACUCCUUGAACUUAAGUUCACCAAACCCCAUGGAGAAUAAGGGAAUGCCCUUCGGAAUGGGCUUGGGGAACGCCUCCAGGAGCACUGAUGCCCCUUCACAAAGCACUGGAGAUCGAAAGACUGGGAGUGUUGGAUCUUGGAGUGCAGCUAGGGGGCCUUCUGGAACUGACACAGCCUCUGGACAAAGCAAUUCUGGAAACAAUGGGAACAAUGGAAAGGAUAGAGAGGACUCCUGGAAAGGAGCUCCUGUUCAGAAAUCAACCGGGUCAAAAAAUGACUCUUGGGACAACAAUAACAGGUCUACGGGUGGGUCCUGGAACUUUGGCCCUCAGGACUCUAAUGACAACAAAUGGGGUGAAGGGAACAAAAUGACAUCCGGGGUCUCUCAGGGAGAAUGGAAACAGCCGACUGGGUCUGAUGAGUUGAAAAUUGGAGAAUGGAGUGGUCCAAACCAACCAAAUUCUAGCACUGGAGCAUGGGACAAUCAAAAGGGCCACCCCCUCCCUGAAAACCAAGGCAAUGCCCAGGCUCCCUGUUGGGGAAGAUCUUCCAGCUCCACGGGAAGUGAAGUUGGAGGUCAAAGCACUGGAAGCAACCACAAAGCAGGAAGUAGUGACAGUCAUAAUUCUGGCCGUCGGUCGUACAGGCCCACACAUCCUGAUUGUCAGGCUGUCUUGCAGACUCUUUUGAGCCGAACUGAUUUGGACCCCAGGGUGCUCUCAAACACUGGCUGGGGCCAAACUCAAAUUAAGCAGGACACAGUGUGGGAUAUUGAAGAGGUGCCAAGGCCCGAGGGGAAAUCUGACAAAGGAACUGAGGGGUGGGAGAGCGCUGCCACACAGACCAAGAACUCAGGGGGCUGGGGAGACGCACCCAGCCAAAGCAAUCAAAUGAAGUCUGGAUGGGGGGAGCUCUCAGCCUCUACAGAGUGGAAAGACCCCAAGAACACAGGAGGCUGGAACGACUAUAAGAACAACAACUCUUCCAGUUGGGGAGGAGGACGACCAGAUGAAAAGACAUCUUCCUCUUGGAAUGAGAAUUCCAACAAGGAGCAGGGGUGGGGAGGUGGACGCCAGCCCAAUCAAGGAUGGACUUCUGGAAAGAAUGGUUGGGGAGAGGAGGUCGAUCAGGCGAAAAACAGCAAUUGGGAAAGUUCUGCCAGUAAACCUGUGUCUGGGUGGGGUGAAGGAGGGCAGAAUGAAAUCGGAACUUGGGGGAACGGUGGGAAUGCAAGCCUAGCUUCAAAAGGCGGGUGGGAAGAUUGCAAAAGAUCUACAGCCUGGACAGAGACCGGCAGACAACCCAGUUCCUGGAACAAACAGCACCAACAGCAGCAGCAGGCACAGCAGCCGCCGCCGCCACAACCAGAGACUUCUGGUUCAUGGGGAGGCCCAGCCCCACCACCUCCAGGCAACGGACGACCUUCCGGUUCCAACUGGAGCAGCGGGCCGCAGCCAGUGGCCCCGAAGGAUGAGGAACCCAGUGGUUGGGAAGAGCCAUCCCCACAGUCGAUUAGUCGGAAGAUGGACAUUGAUGAUGGCACUUCAGCGUGGGGAGACCCUAACAGUUACAACUACAAGAAUGUGAAUCUGUGGGAUAAGAAUUCCCAAGGGGGCCCAGCGCCUCGAGAACCAAACCUGCCUACCCCGAUGACCGCUAAAUCAGCAUCAGUCUGGAGCAAAAGCACACCACCUGCUCCAGAUAAUGGUACUUCAGCUUGGGGUGAGCCAAAUGAAAGCAGUCCUGGGUGGGGUGAAAUGGAUGACACAGGAGCAUCGACCACAGGCUGGGGGACCACACCCUCCAGUGCUCCAAAUGCCAUGAAACCUAAUUCCAAAUCUAUGCAAGACGGCUGGGGGGAGAGUGACGGGCCCGUGACAGGAACUCGCCAUCCCAGCUGGGAAGAGGAGGAGGAUGGAGGAGUCUGGAACACCGCCGGCUCUCAGGGAAGUGCUUCCUCCCACAGUUCGGCAAGCUGGGGACAAGGAGGAAAGAAGCAGAUGAAGUGCUCACUAAAAGGAGGAAACAGUGAUUCAUGGAUGAAUCCCCUUGCCAAACAGCUUUCAAAUAUGGGAUUGCUGAGUCAAACUGAAGAUAAUCCAAGUAGCAAAAUGGAUUUGUCUGUAGGGAGCCUUCCAGAUAAAAAAUUUGAUGUGGACAAGCGAGCAAUGAAUCUCGGGGAUUUUAAUGAUAUCAUGAGGAAGGAUCGAUCUGGGUUCCGUCCACCUAAUUCCAAAGACAUGGGAACCACAGAUAGUGGGCCUUAUUUUGAGAAGGGUGGCAAUCAUGGUUUGUUUGGAAAUAGCACAGCACAAUCGAGAGGCGUGCACACCCCCGUGCAGCCGCUGAAUUCUUCUCCUAAUCUCCGGGCGCAAGUGCCUCCCCAGUUCAUUUCCCCCCAGGUUUCUGCCUCAAUGCUCAAGCAGUUUCCCAACAGUGGCCUGAAUCCAGGUCUUUUCAAUGUGGGGCCCCAGUUAUCUCCUCAACAAAUUGCCAUGCUGAGCCAGCUUCCACAAAUUCCCCAGUUUCAGUUGGCGUGUCAGCUGCUCCUGCAGCAGCAGCAACAGCAGCAGUUGUUGCAGAACCAGAGGAAGCUUUCUCAAGCCGUGCGCCAGCAACAGGAGCAGCAGCUGGCUCGAAUGGUGAGCGCCCUGCAGCAGCAGCAGAGGCAGCCCAGCAUGAAGCAUUCGCCGUCUCAUCCCGUCGGGCCCAAGCCGCACCUGGACAACAUGGUCCCCAACGCUCUGAAUGUGGGGCUCCCAGACCUUCAAACCAAAGGGCCGAUACCUGGAUACGGUUCUGGCUUCAGCUCUGGCGGCAUGGACUACGGCAUGGUUGGUGGGAAGGAGGCUGGAACAGAGUCUCGCUUUAAACAGUGGACCUCCAUGAUGGAGGGACUGCCCUCUGUAGCCACACAGGAAGCCAAUAUGCACAAAAAUGGCGCUAUAGUGGCCCCUGGUAAGACCCGAGGAGGGUCACCAUACAACCAGUUUGAUAUCAUCCCGGGUGACACACUGGGUGGCCAUACGGGUCCUGCUGGUGAUAGCUGGUUACCUGCCAAAUCUCCACCAACAAAUAAAAUCGGAAGUAAAUCCAGCAAUGCCAGUUGGCCUCCAGAAUUCCAACCAGGAGUGCCAUGGAAAGGUAUCCAAAACAUUGACCCUGAAUCUGACCCCUAUGUCACCCCAGGAAGUGUGCUGGGGGGUACAGCCACAUCUCCCAUUGUAGAUACUGACCACCAACUUCUGCGGGAUAACACCACAGGGUCUAAUUCUUCCCUCAACACCUCGCUGCCUUCACCUGGUGCCUGGCCCUACAGUGCCUCUGACAACUCCUUCAGCAACGUUCAUAGCACUUCAGCAAAGUUCCCUGAUUACAAAUCGACAUGGUCCCCAGAUCCCAUAGGACACAACCCCACUCAUCUCUCCAACAAGAUGUGGAAAAACCAUAUUUCCUCAAGGAACACUACACCGCUGCCCCGCCCGCCUCCCGGUCUGACCAACCCCAAGCCGUCAUCUCCCUGGAGCAGCACAGCACCCCGCUCAGUCAGGGGGUGGGGGACGCAGGACUCGCGGCUUGCCUCUGCCUCCACCUGGAGUGAUGGUGGUUCAGUUCGUCCUAGUUACUGGCUGGUUCUUCACAAUCUCACUCCACAGAUUGAUGGGUCAACCUUGAGAACCAUCUGCAUGCAGCAUGGCCCACUGCUGACAUUCCAUCUGAACCUAACCCAGGGCACCGCCCUGAUCCGAUACAGCACCAAACAGGAGGCGGCCAAGGCCCAAACUGCACUGCACAUGUGUGUGUUGGGAAACACUACCAUCCUGGCUGAGUUUGCCACUGAUGAUGAAGUUAGCCGCUUUCUGGCACAAGCUCAGCCCCCUACCCCUGCGGCGACCCCGAGUGCACCCGCAGCGGGUUGGCAGUCCCUGGAGACCGGCCAGACCCAGUCAGAUCCCGUCGGACCUGCUCUGAAUCUUUUCGGUGGGUCCACAGGGCUCGGGCAAUGGAGCAGCAGUGCUGGUGGCAGCAGCGGGGCCGAUCUUGCUGGCGCUUCAUUGUGGGGACCCCCAAACUAUUCUUCUAGCUUGUGGGGAGUCCCGACCGUGGAAGACCCCCAUAGGAUGGGCAGCCCUGCUCCUUUACUACCUGGUGACCUUCUGGGAGGAGGGUCGGAUUCAAUCUGAACUUAGAACUUUCAACUCUGACCUCGUGACCUUUUUUGGAACAGCAGCAGCACUAACUUGACCUUUUCGUUUUUUUUUUCAACUUGCAAUAAAUACAUUUUUAAAAGGAAAAAAGAAAACGGAGAGAGAAAAAAAGAGAAAUCAAGUGAAUGCUAAGGGCCAUUUCCAUAAUUCCUCAGAACUCCCCAAAGAGGAAAACAAUCCCUCCGCAAGAUUCCUUCAGCUUCAUUCAGGAAGACACAGGGAGGAGAGAUGCUGCAGCUUCCGGGGCUUCACUCUCAUUCCUCUCUAAUGGCCUUGAAAUGUAUUAUUAUGCAAAUGUGAAUUUUGAUACUGAACUUAAGAAGAGGUUGUUGGAUUUUUCUUUUUUCAAAAAAAAAAAAGGUCCCAUAUGUGGUCAUCAUUGCUUCUUUACUUUGUAACGUGUGAAUUGUAACUAUGCAUUCUGCAAAGGGGGGGUGGGAGGAGAGGGCAGAAAGGGGAAGGAAGUAGCUUUGUAUCCUUGUUCUACAGUUUCUGUGUCCAUGGUAUCCCCUCAAGCUGGCAGGGAAGGGGAGUGAGAGUAAGAAGCGGUAAGGUCGGCACAGUGAGGUAGAAAGAGACCUGUGAGUCCGGCCUGGCACUUCCUGGGGGGCCUGCAGCCCCUACCAGCCAGUGUGGUACAGGACCUCCAUCCUAGCCGUGCGGUGUCAGCCUGGUGCAACAGGAGGGCCCCGAAGGCCCCCUGUUUUCUGGAAAAAAGUGCUCACCCUGUCCUGAACUCAGAACCCUUUCAAGCUCAGGAAACCUUGCCUCACGCGUGCUGACCUUAAUCUUUAUGUCAUUUCAGAAAAAACUCCUCCUCCUCCUCGCUCCAUUUUAAUUUUUCUUUCUUCUUUCUUAGUCAUUUUUAAGUGAAUUUAAUUGUAAGGAAACUUUCUUGCUCUAUGGGGAAGAGGUCUGUUGCUUGACAGGCAAACAGGGCUGCUCUUCCCUGUCCACUAGCCCUCCGCCAUAUGUGGCCUCUCUGCUUCCCUUGCAGGUGUUAAGCUGUGUGUAGCUAGUGAGCAGUGAGGUGUUUGACACGGGAAAGCCCACAGCCUCCUCUGUCCUGACAGCAUCCCUCUGUUGACCCUUCCUGCAGUCAGUCGUGGCCCUUGCAUUGCUCUGGUCUAGGCAUUAUUGGCAACACACAGUAUCGGAAGCAAGAGACUGCCGUGCCUGGAGCCAGUGUUUCCCUGCAGCAGUUUUGCUGUUGAUGUUCACAGUACUGUAACUAGUAACAGACUUGAUCACAGUCUCCUCGUGCCCCUGCCAGCCUGCACAGGCACGAUCUCAUCAGGGUUCCAAUCUGUUAGAUUGCCUUUAGACAAAAAAGAAAACAAAAAAAUAAAAUUCUGACGUUUCAGCUGUCUAACACAAAACAAUACCUCGAGGUACAUUUCCCCUGCAGUGCAGACCCUUAACUCCCCUCCUUUUCUGACAUCGGUGGGUUAUCCUUGGAAAAAUAUGAACGUGUAGAUAGCAGGAUAACUUUUACAAUUUUUUCUUUGCUGUGAAAGUAACCCUAAAAUAUGAUGUUUUCCACUUAUUUUUAAAGGCAUCAGAAGUUUUAGAUCUUAUUCUUUCAUGUUUAAGAAGAGAAAGCAGAACAGGUCAGGGGAGUGGACUUGCAUUUGUGGGGUGAUGUUCUCUCCAUUGCCUCCCAUACACAGUGACGACAGACCAGUGUUUAAACCCUGCUCUGAAUAGAUGCCAUCUAUUCUAGCUCUAGUUCCAGAGUAGGGAGUGUCUGGAUUUCUCUCUUCCAGAAGAUCCAUCCCCUCCAGGGACUCCAGAAUGUUUUCUCCCGAGACCUUGAGUUCUCAACCUUUCUUGGUUCAAACACACACACACACACGCACACACACACACAUACUUUGAGUAACUGAGUAGCAUUCUGUAGAUCAUAAAGAGAAUCAGUCCCUGGCAUUUCAAUUUUGUGCUGUAGAAUUCAUAGCCGUGUCGCUUUGCGAUGCUCUGGAAAUGAAUUGAUUUCUUACUUAGAAGGAAUCAUCUGAGACGUGCAGGCAACCUCCCUGAAAGGCCCGCGCACCCUCAGGUGUCCCUCCCUCCACAAGGCUUGAAGCUGACUUUAGGUAGAGGUAAAUAAGUUUAACGAGUGCUGCUUGUAGGGAUCUGUCAGCUACUGCUCUCCUAGAUUUGGCCGCUCAUGAGGCAGGACCAGAAUAGAUCAUUUUGAAUAGCUUCUUCGCAAACCCCCUAGCUCCCCCCAUCUUAAAGAUAAACCCUGUAUCUGUCAGGAAGCCCUUUUUAGGUUGGGCUCGCUGAUCUUUGUCUACUGACGACUUCCUUUGAGGGAAGAAGCUUGAUGAUAAAUGCACGCAUAUCCACCACCCACCUUCUGAUCUGGGCGCUGUCGACCUGCGGAUUUUAUUUCUGUUGUUUGUGUGGAAGCCCCUUUUCUAUCAGUCUCCUUCCUCUGGUCCCUCCUGAGUUUUUCCUGCCCUUCUGUCCCUCUGUGACGCUCCCAAAGGGCUCUGCUGAUCUCUGCACUUCUGUCCUGGGACACUCCCCCCCACCACCCUUUGCACACACCAGUGACCAAAGUGUGUCCAGUGAUCUCACAGAAGACAUAAAAAAUGGUGCAUGCACCGUGAAUGUGCUCACAGAGACACGUGCACAAGAUUCUGCACCCUUGGCCUUAACCUCAGUAUGACUUAAGGUGCAGGAACAUUUUUAACAGGUUUAAAAAAAACAAAAAAACCCUUCCUGGAGGAAAAAAAAAAGCAGACGCAACGGCUCAACCAUGCCCACUCCUAACUCUCCACUAUUUGCUUAUGACUUACUCUGUGCCCACCCCACCCCUCCCUGUUUCGAGUAACCAAAAACAGAUAACAGAAGCAACCCGAGGAGAGGUUUCUGGACUAUUUUUUCUUUCUCCAUUUAGAUGGAGAUAUAUAUGCUGCUUUGGGUUCCAUAAUCCUAGGGGGCUAUGUUUACAUAGUAAAAUACAUCCUACCAAAUCAGGAAACUGAAUAUGGGAAUCUCUGCAAUGAGAGUUAGGUCACUGAUGGUGAACAAGAGAAGUGAGGGCCCCGGGGGAUGGCGCAGAGGAGAGACGGAGCAGUACCACCUGAUGGCCUGGGACGCGUUGCUCCUCCCUUCGCUUCUCUCCUUGCCCCCUUUCACAGAAGGUGCAGAGAAGGGCAUCAGAAAGAGGCUGGAUCUUUCAAAGGCAGCUUUCCAACUUUGCACACAAACAGGUAACAGGAAGGUACAGCAAAAAUCCUCUCAUCUGAAACACUGUCUGCAGAAACAAAACCUGUAAACAUGACUAAAUAGCUGCACAAUUUUGAUGCUCUCUGCAAGUUACCUAGAAGUGUUUUGUUUUUCUUAUACUUGAAAUAGCUUUUACAAUGUUAUUUUGGUGGCUUUCUUUUCUCUCUACUGGUGGGCCAUAGAGAAAGUGGAUGACGGGAUUUAAGGAAGUUUGAGGGGAGAAAAGGGAGGAUAUGGCAUUGUCUUUUUUUUUUUCUCUCUCUUAAACAUAGAGGUUUAAUCAAACUCCCAUAUGUUGAAAUUGCUCCUCAUAUGACUGGUUUUACAUGGACACAGAAACUAGGCACUUUAGAGGUGCACUUGCAUGGCAGGCUGGGCCCCCCUUUUCUAUAUUUUAUUUUACUUUUUUAGUAUAGUGGUACUUAAAAUCACUGGUUCACUUAAACAAUAAAAUGUUAAACUCUACUAAUGUACAAAUAAGCUGAAAAGUUGCAUUUUAUGUGUAUUUUUUGCCAUAGCAGGUACUGUAUUUCUCAUGCUGGAUUUCAAAAAAAAAAGUCAAAAACAAAAAAAACUAAAGGGUGGUCUUUUAUUGGAUGUGACAGGUUGAGUAAUAAGGAAUUAAGUCGUCGUCAUUUCAUUAAAACUGAGAGAUGAUGUAAUGCAUAUAUGAGUUUUCUGAAGGGUUUUUUUGGGCUUUUAAGCAGCUUAUUUUUGUUUUUGUUUAGUUUUUUAUUUUAUUUUAUUUUGGAAAGAUAUGAUUGUAUUAUGUGCAACUCAGUUGCUUACAUUAUAACUACAAAAUAUUUUUGGGUUCCUGGAAAAAAAAAAAAAAAGAAAAAAGACUAAUAAAUGUGUUUGGCUGCUAAGCAUUUAUUGUGGUUUCCUGUUUCAUUCUGCCAGUUUAAUUUGCUCGUCUGUUGAAUGUUUGUAUUUCUUCUAC